rfam:TPA: Bos taurus chromosome 8, whole genome shotgun sequence.
UCCCUCAUAGCUCAGUUGGUAAAGAAUCUGCCUGCAAUGCAGGAGACCCUGGUUUGAUUCCUGGGUUGGGAA